AAACAAGGUGAGUUUUGGCCAACUCUUGGGAGAAAAGAAGAAAGGAAAAAUCGAGAGAAACAAGUGGAAAAACAAGAGAAAAAUUCUGGUUUUGUGCAACCCAUCCAACAAGUUUGGGAGUUAGAGCAAAAGAAAGCUAAGGAACUUGAUUCUUGAAGUGCAACCUUGUGAACCCACCUUUGGAAGGUAAAGCAGCCUUGAACUCUUGUAAAAACUUAUAGCAAUUGAGUAGAAAUGUUGAUUUUGAUGUUGUAAGAUGCUAAUAAGGGUUAAUGAUGGUUUAUAUAUCACUUUUGUGGGUUUGUGUGGAGGAUUUGGUGAUUUCUAUGGUGGUUUGAGAAAAUUCCAGAAUUGAGAUUUCUUAUGGUUCAGUUCUGCCCGUUUCUGUUUGAGUAUGUUAGGGACCGAAUUAGCCUCAGUUCAAAACAUGAAAGUUGUAUAGAAUAAUGUUUUAUAGUUGCCUGCAAAAUUUCAGCUCAAUCGGAGCAACGUAGCUUGUAAAAAGACCGAAAUACCCCUGACUACCAUAGGUUUAGUCCAAUGGACAGUUUUGACAGUGCAUCAAGUUGGUCACGUUUGUUCACCUUGAUACGUAAUGAAAUAGUAUUUAGUCAAAACAUAAAAGUUGUAGUGCUAUGUCUUAGCUUUCCAACGCCCCUGGAAUCACCUCGUUUGGACUUCGGUAGCCUGAGUUAUGGUUGUUUACGUAUAAUGCGGUUAACUAGCCUGAAUGUGAGAUUUUGGUUCUGUAAUCCGGACUUUUGACUUAGAUACACUACAAACUGGACUGAGUGGUCUUCAUCAAUAUUGUAACCCUCUGCCUUAGCUUCGAAACGGUAUAAAUUUUACCCCAAUCCGAUAAGCGUAGCUUUGGUUGUGCCCGUUACGCUAAGCGACGGCAAAUCUGUCUUUUGUUUUAUAACUUAAACUUCAUUUCCGGAUAUUUUCCUAGUUUGAUUUCGUACUUGUGUGACUUUGAGCCUAUUGAACGGCUAUUGAAAUGAGAUGAUUUUGUAUAUGAUUUUGGGGCUUUAUUAUGAUUGAGUUGAGAUGUGAUUUGUAAUGUCUUGUAGGAUGGAAAAUAAGGAAUUUAAGGGGAAGUGCUGUUCAAUCUUUUAGAACGUUUAAUCGCUGUGAGUUUGGGUUAAUUCGUGGUAGAAUGAAGAGCUUGGACUUGAUCGAGGAAAACUGUCUAUGAUGGAUGAGUAUUAAGAGCCGUGGAUGGUGAGUGACCCCAAACUAUUUCCAAAACUACUUAUGAAUUGUUUCUUGCAUUAUUUACUCGAUUGCAUAUCAUGUGUGCUUGCAUGUGAGUUCAUGACAUGAUUUGGCUUCAAUGAAUUCUUGAGAAGUCUUGUGCCGAACACCAACGUCUCCAUCACUGUUUACUUGGAUCAAAUGGCUCCCUAUCACUGGAUCAAUUUGAGCGUUGGAUGUUUAAGUACAAUGAUUUCACUGGCUCACAAGGGCAAUAAACGUAUAUUUGAUUCCUGAUUCAUGAUAUCAUUGAAAUGAACUAUUGUGAAACUUAUUUCACUACUGAUUUUACUGGUUACUCGGUGAGUUUCUAACUCACCCCAAAAAUAUUUUUUUGUCCCCUCCACAGGGCUCGAGGCAAAGGAAGCGCUUGUAUUACGUUAUUUGUGGGACUGGAUGGCAUAUAUUUUGUACAGUUUAGAUUUGGAUUCAUUUUGUGUAAUAGUUGGGCUAGUGUGACUGUUUGGAAUUGAAAUGGAUGUAUGUGUACGUUCCACGCUUUAGAAGUAGUUUUUGCUUCGCUUAUGAUAUGUAAAUUUGAGGAACAUUUGAUGUAUAUUUGAGAUUUAUAUUGUAAUUGAAUUGAGGAUUGUAGUGAGUGAGUGAGUCCCGGCGAGAGUUGGGCAGGCGAUCCGCCAAACCCUUUGGUUCGCCUUAGGGGGAGGUGGGGCUGUCAUAGUUGGUAUCAGAGCUUAGGUUUUCGAUCUCUGUAGUGUAUCCUAGGCUUCAAGUUUAGGAUGCCGGACUGUGGAUCUGAUGAAAUAUCAGUGAUUUCUUGUAGGAAUGAAAAUC
rnacentral:lncRNA from 1 species